UACGAAGGGUGCAAGCGUUACUCGGAAUUACUGGGCGUAAAGGGCGCGUAGGCGGCCUAUCAAGUCAGAUGUGAAAGCCCUGGGCUUAACCUAGGAGGUGCAUUUGAUACUGAUGGGCUUGAGAUCGAGAGAGGAGAGUGGAAUUGCGAGUGUAGAGGUGAAAUUCGUAGAUAUUCGCAAGAACACCAGUGGCGAAGGCGACUCUCUGGCUCGAUACUGACGCUAAGGCGCGAAAGCGUGGGGAGCAAACAGG
rnacentral:rRNA from 1 species